UUUAUUGAGAGUUUGAUCCUGGCUCAGGAUGAACGCUGGCGGCGUGCUUAACACAUGCAAGUCGAACGGACGGAUUGGAGCUUGCUCCAUGAAGUUAGUGGCGGACGGGUGAGUAACGCGUGGGUAACCUGCCCUAUGCAGGGGGAUAACGUUUGGAAACGAACGCUAAUACCGCAUAACCUAGUUGGUUCGCAUGAACCAACUAGCAAAGAUUUUAUCGGCAUAGGAUGGACCCGCGUUGGAUUAGCUAGUUGGUGAGAUAACAGCCCACCAAGGCAACGAUCCAUAGCCGGCCUGAGAGGGUGAACGGCCACACUGGGA
rnacentral:rRNA from 1 species